rnacentral:rRNA from 1 species
UACGAAGGGUGCGAGCGUUAUUCGGAUUUAUUGGGCGUAAAGGGUUCGUAGGCGGGAGAUCAAGUCAAGUGUGAAAUAUCCGGGCUUAACCUGGAAAGCGCAUUUGAAACUGGUUUUCUUGAGUGUUGAAGAGGGUGGUGGAAUUGCUGGUGUAGGAGUGACAUCCGUAGAGAUCAGCAGGAACAUCGGAGGCGAAGGCGGCCACCUGGUCAAUCACUGACGCUGAGGAACGAAAGCAUGGGGAGCAAACAGG